rnacentral:piRNA from 1 species
ACAGCACGGAACGUGUGACCUUGGUCCCC